GGGGAAGCAGUUUAUAUAAACAUUUAAUUUGCAAUUAAAAGAAGCUAAUAAAUAAUUUAGCCCUCCUCA
rnacentral:tRNA from 1 species